UUACCUUCGUGCGACUUCCCCAGUCAUGAAUCUCACCGUGGUAAUCGCCCUCCUUACGGUUGGGCCUAUACUUCUGGUAAACCCACUCCCAUAGUGUGACGGGUGGUGUACAAGACCACGGAACGUAUUCACCGCGACAUGCUGAUCACGUUGCUUGAUUCCGACUUCACGCAGUCAGGUUGCAGACUAUGAUCCGGACCGAUCAGGUUCUGGUUAAACCCUGGAUUGGCGAUACCUCUUGUCCCGACCAGUAUGACGUGUGAAGGCCCCUGCCGCAGGGCCAGCAGGGGACUUGGCGUCAUCACCACCUUCCUCCGGUUUGUCGCGGCAGUCUCAUUAGUUGCCCUUUCGUGUAACCCAAACGCAGCGGCCAGGGUUGCGCUCGUUGCAGGACUUAACCCAACAUCUCACGACACGACUGACGUAGCCAUACAGCACCUGUGUUCCGGUUCUCUUGCGAGCACUCCCAAAUCUCUUCCGCGGGUUCAGACAUGUCAAGUGGGUGGAGUUUUCGGCAUCGAAUUAAUCCACGUAUCCACCGCUUGUGGGUCCCCGUCCUUCCUUCAGGUUUAAUCUCUGGGCAGCCUCCCCCAGGCGGUCAACUUCACGCGUUAGCUGCGCUACUACCAGGUGCGGGUUUGGCAGCUAGUUGACAUCGUUUAGGGCGUGGACUACCAGGGUAUCUAAUCCUGUUUAUGUCCCCGCGCUUUCGUGCAUGAGCGUCAGUGUUAUCCCAGGAGGCUGCCUUCGCCCAUCGGUGUUCCUCCGCAUAUCUACGCAUUUCACUGCUACACGCGAAUUCCACCUCCCUCUGACACACUCCCCAAACUCGGUAGUUAAAAAUGCGGUUCCAAAGUUAAGCUCUGGGUUGCAUCUUCUUCCGAACCGCCUGCGCCUUCACGCCCGGUAAUUCCGAUUAACGCUUGCACCUACCUGGUAAUACGCAGCUGCUGGCACGUAGUUAGCCGAUUGCUUGUUAUGCAGAGUACCGUCAGUUGCCUGGGGUAUUAUCCGUGCCGUUUCUUUAACGAAAGUGCUUUACAACCCGAGGCCUUCAUCGCACUUUUACGCGGGAUGGCUGGAUCAGAAAUUCCCCCCAUUCAUCCAAAAUUCCCACUGCCUCCCGUAGCGGGAGUCUGAGGCGUGUAUCUCAGUCCCAGUGUGGCUGGGUGUUCGAUAUCUCAAACCAGCUACCCGGAUCGUCGCUUAUUGGUGAGCCGUUACCCUGUGACUGUAACUAAUCGAUAUCGGUAGUAAUAGUGCCGCGUAGAAAGUUCCCCGCUUUCCACGGAAGAGUCGUAUGCGGUAUUAACCAUAACGCGUAGUUAUCCCCCUACUAGAGGCGUUCCGAUGCGUUACUCACCGUUCACGCCACUCGCCCACCAAAGACCGAAGUCCGUGCUGCCGUUCGACUUGCAUGUGUAAAACUCCGCCAGCGUUCAAUCACGAACCAGCGGUCGAACCCUCUGUUACUACAAAGUGCUCG
rnacentral:rRNA from 1 species